GACGAACGCUGGCGGCGUGCUUAACACAUGCAAGUCGAGCGGUAAGGCCCUUUCGGGGGUACACGAGCGGCGAACGGGUGAGUAACACGUGGGUGACCUGCCCUUAGCUCUGGGAUAAGCCUGGGAAACUGGGUCUAAUACCGGAUAUGACUCCAUGACGCAUGUUGUGGGGUGGAAAGCCUUGUGCGGCUAGGGAUGGGCCUGCGGCCUAUCAGCUUGUUGGUGGGGUGAUGGCCUACCAAGGCGACGACGGGUAGCCGGCCUGAGAGGGCGACCGGCCACACUGGGACUGAGACACGGCCCAGACUCCUACGGGAGGCAGCAGUGGGGAAUCUUGCGCAGUGGGCGAAAGCCUGACGCAGCGACGCCGCGUGGGGAUGACGGCCU
rnacentral:rRNA from 1 species